CUCCUCGGGCACCGAGUAGCGCAGCUGUCCCCACGCCGCCUCCCACGCCGCCACCAACACGCAGCACAGCAGCGCUCGCUGCCUCCGGCCCCAGCGCCCUUCUCUCGCUGCGCACAUCUCCGCCACGGACCCCCACCACCGGACGCUCGCCGACUGCUCCCCGCCGCCGACCCGACUCUUCGCCUGCAGCUCCGGCUCCGACUCCCGCUUCGGCUCCGGCCCCGCUGUCGCCCGGUCUCGCCGGCCCUUCCGCCUCUAUGUAGCUCGGUUCCGUACCGCGGGGCCGCUCGCAGCCCGCAUGGCCGACGACAAAGCGAGCGAGCGAGCCGGGCCGCAGCGGGCGGGGCUGGCUGCAGCGCUCCGCUCCUUCCUCUCCUCUCCUCCGUGGUGAACAGCGGCGCCCGCAGCCUCCGACCGGCACUGCACGCACGGCUCACAGCGAGCGCCGCCGCCCUGCCUCUUCCGCGGACACCUUCGGUCCCCACGGACACGGCGCCUCGGCACAUUCCCCUGCGACACGGCCCAGCGCCGGUGCGCUUGCCUUCUCUUCUUCGAGGGAAAUAUCGAAUGCAUUCUGGUCUUUACGGCCCUCAGGAGCAAUGUGAAGGCAGGGUGUUCCUCUCGCUGUCUUCGUUUUUCCGCAUGGGAAGUAGGUUUGGGUUUUUUUUGUUAAUUCAUCCUGUUAAUAGUGGUUAGUCUCAACUUACUAUUGCAGAAAUAUUGUGUACUCCACGAAUUUCAAAUGUCAUUCUUGCCUUCCUUCUUGGUUUAAAGCUUCCUCGGCUUUCCAACAAUUUAUGAGCACCUAAUUCAGUUUCGUUGUAAUUUGUGCUGUUGUUUCAAUGUCAACAACUAUGUAAUACAGUUCUCCCUGUAAGGGUGCAUCAGCAAGCAACCAGCAACCCCCCUCAGCUCUCUGAGCAGGCUGUGCAUGCACUCCACAUCCCUGCUAUAGAGUAAACCAGCUGGAGCACUCAUCACUGAUCAUUUUUGCCCACUAUAAAUGCAGUCUUGGAGAC
rnacentral:lncRNA from 1 species